UUUUUUUUUUUUUUUCAAGAAAAAGAUGGAAGAGAUGAGGGCGUGGAAGGAGAGACCUGGAAGUGGAAUGAAUUAUCCAAGGUCACAUAGCAAGGAAAUGGCAGAGAGGUAAUAGAGCCCGGUUUUUGGAUCAAUGCCCAUCUUCUCUUUUUCACAUUAUUAGUACUAUUUUACUCCUUUGGAGACCUUGGGAAGAUCCCCAGUACUGCCUGGUAGUUUCUCAUUGCCACAACUAGAUGGUAACACUCUUGAAGUCAGACAUGUUAUUGUAUAUUUCUCCUAUCUUAUUCAGUACCUGACACUAUGUUUCACAUAUAAGAGGAGCUUAAAAGUUUUGGAACAAUUGGUUUAUUUACAUUUAUUUAUUUAUUUAUUUGGCUAUGUCCUCUGCAUGUGGAAGUUCCUGGGGCAGAGAUCAAACCUGAGCCACAGCUGUGACAAUGCUGGGUCCUUAACUGCUAGGCCACCAGGGGGCUCAACAAUAGGUUAGUUAAUAAUUAUUAGUAAAAAAUUUAGAAAAUGGUACCCAGUUAUAUCUAGCUUUGGAGGGGUAUAAAUAGGAGUGAAACAAAUGCCAUGCCUGAUGUAAACAAGAUUUUGGUAGGGUUCCAAAUUCAGUAUAGGAUCCUAACAUUAUGUAUCUGUCUUUACUCUGCUAUUUCACUUUUUCUUUUCUUCUUCCUAGCCAAUUUCACCUCUAAGCAUGGGUGCCUAUUGAGGCUAAAGAGUUUGUUUUCCUCUUUUUUUACGUCAACUUUUCUUUGAAAAAGGGAUGGGAGCAGGAUUGCUCUAACUCUAUGAGAAGUAGACAUUGUCUACAGUAAUGGAUUUAGGUAUCCUCCUUUCCUUCAUCAGAAAAUCUUUUGGCAAAUCCUUAAUUUUCAAAUAAAGGAAAACGAGCCUAUAGCCAAUGAUGGUUUGGCCUUUUGACGAGAAUGAAGAAACAAGAUAUUCCAGUUCAGCAAAGUGAAAUGUAAUGUUUGCAAGAAAACCCUUUAAACCACUUGUCACUAACACUGUACUGAAUACCAAACUAGGCAGUGGUUUUAUUCCAAAAAUUAUGGGAAAACUGAGAAUGAAAAAACACACAAAACAGAUUGACAAGGACUCUGCUUGAAGACCUGGAGGGAAUUCAUUGGCCUUCUUGUGUUAAAAAGAGGUGACAGAGUAGAUAUCCCUUCAGAUGGGACAAUAAAUAGGAAAGGGAAGUGGAAGAAAAUUCAUCAGAACAUAUAAAUGUUUCCAAACAAAUAUUAGAAGCCUGAAAAUAUGAUUAGAAUGGAGAGACUGUGAACUCGGAGGCUAUAUUAAAUAUCCUUCUUCCUCCAUUGUAUAUAAAAAGCACUGCAUAAUAUAUAUAGGGAAUUUUAUUUUGAAUAAAUAACAGCAAGUAAAAAUGUUCACAUAAUUGCUGUCUCAGAGAGAGAGAGAGACAUUGUGGACAAAGGAUAUUGUGAUGCCAAUUUACAAACUGAGCAAAGGAUAGAAAUGAGCAGGAGAUAGGGUGCAUUAUGUAUACGAGGAGAUGGCAUAAACAUUUAUAGCCUAAAAAUACUACUAGAUGAGAGAAGCACAUUGAAAUAUCUACGGAAGCAAAUUCCAUCUUAAAUUAAUUAAAGAUAAAUAAGAUGUUAUUCUAUUAACUGUUGACUGAAAAAAAAAAUGUGCAGUGUAAGAGUUGUGAGUUAAGUUUUAUUUGGGGCAAAAUGAGGAUUAUAGCCCAGGAGGCUGUGCUUCAGAGAGCUCUGAGAAACUGCUCCAAAGAGGUAGGGGAGAAAAGUCAGUAUAUAUAUGAUUUUGGUGAAAGGGGAGGUACAUGCAAUCAAGCGCACAUUUUGCAGAAGAUUGCUGCUAGUCUUGUGAAGGUUCUUGCUGGUCACAAAGAGCAAAUGUCACCAUGAAGGAUUUUCGUGCUUUUCCAGAUAAGAGGAGAUACAAGAUUUGGGCUCAUAAAAUCUUCUCCUGAAAAUAUCUAUCAAAAGACUUGUUCUUCUAGUUUUCCCAGAGCACAGAGUGCCUCACUCCUGAUCUCCACCCUGAAUUCUUUCAGGGGGUGUUGAAGGUCAGCAGCUACAGUGGCUCAUGAUUUAAUCCUUGUAGAGGUAUAUGGCAAGUGCCAGUCUCCAGUUGGCAAAACCAUCUGGUAAAGGGAAUGAUACAGGACUAUGAAAUAUGCUUUAUAAAUACUCAAGGGAACUUUGGAACUGAGUCCAAUAAUAAAAUUGUAGAGCUUUGUUCACUCAACCACAAAUUAGAAGAAUUUGUACUUCAUGGAGAGGAGUUUCUGAUAAGCUAUGAUGUCUUCCUAAAAUAACAAGUUUGAAAACUACGAGAAAGAAAAAUAUCCUAAGCUUGGCCCUUGGAGCAAAAUUAUCAAAUCAUUUAAACAAAUCUAAUACAUUGGAAAGAUUUUUAGGAUAUAUGUUUAAAAUACAUUGCAACUCACUUUAUGGGUUUGUGAUCUUGGCUCCAAGCCAGAAAUGAAACUAACAGCUGCUGCUUUUCCACACCCCCAAAGUAAUCAAAUAAUUGUAGAAAAACGUAUGUGUGUGGCACUUCACACAGAGAAGAUUUACUAAACUGCCUAGGCUUGGAGAAAACUAGGCCAAAUUGACAAAACACACAUAAAUGAUUCAUCACGUAUAAAGAUAAUAAGGUCUAUUAGUUAUUUAGCACCUGUAUGCCAGACAAUAAACUAUGAACAAACAUCUUUUUCAACUUAAUCCUUAUCCUAACUCCAUGAGAUAGAUAUUGCCCCCAUUUUACAGGUAAGGAAAUUUGAGACUUAAAAACAUUUGAGAAAUUCACCCAAUCACUUAGGUUGAUAACCCAGGCUUCAAAUAUAAGGCUAAUUUCUGAGAUCAUGCUCUUAAUCACUGCCCUAUUACUAAUUAGAGAAUUAAAUACGAAUUGGAACAAGAAAAAGUUGGGGGUCAGUUCCUCUGAAAGGUGGAUAUAUAUAUAUAUUAGUGUGCCAGGGCUGCCGUAACAAAAUACUACAAACUGUGGCUCAAACAAUAGAAACUAAUUAUCACACAAUUCUAGAGGCAGGUUUGAUUUCCUCUGAGGCCUCUCUCCUUCGCUUGUAUAUGACUUCCUUCUUACUCUGUCUUCACAUGGUCUUUCUUCUGCGGUGUGCAUCCCUGGUGUCUCAGUGUGUCCAAAUUUCCUUUUAUAGGGACAUCAGUCGGAUUAGAUUAAGGCCCACCCUAAUGGCCUCAUUUUAACUUAAUCUCUUAAAGGCACUUUCUUCAAAUACAGUCAUAUUCUGAGGUACCAGAUGUUAUGGCCUCAAUAUGUGAAUUUAUAGGUAGUGGGGAUACAAUUCAGCCCAUACUAAUAUGACAAUCACAUUCCAAGUUCUUUGAGGAAAGCAUCUACUUUGACCUGGAACUAUGUAAACAAUUUUACAUUUAGUUUCUCAUUUAAAUCUCAGAAUAGUCAUGUAUGGUAGCUAUUGGCAACUCUAUGGGUGAGAAAAAGGAAGCAAAGAAGGGUUAAGUAGUGUGCCCAAUAUUAUACAUUUAGUAGUUGUGAAAUAGGAGUUUGGACUCCUAUAAUUCAUAUUCCAAAGCUCUUUCCUCAUGAGAAAAAGUAGCUUUCUCCAAAGGUAGCUUUCUUUGCAGAAAGAAAAGAAAUCCCAUUAUAUGGGUAUUUGAUAUCAGAAAAGGAAAUUAUUACCAUAUAUAAAUAUUAGGAUAAAUGGACAGAAUAGGAGAAAAAAAGGGAAACUAUAUAUGCCGAGUUUGGAUACUAGACCUAGAAAGACAUUUGAGAGUUCAAGGGAGUGAGAACUAGCAGCAGAGAAUAUUUUGAAUGGCGAGCUAAUAGAAGGUUCUUAUUUCACAAGAAAUCGGGAUAAUUUGAAAUAUAUUAAGAGUCCCAGUGGAGUAUCCCACCAAAAAUAGAAGAAAAGCAGUUAUUCAAUAACUGAUUAGACAUUGCUAAGAGAGGCUGUGGUCUCAGGAAUGUCAUAACAGCUGGAAAGGGAAACUGGGUGGAGGGAGGGUGAUGACAUGAUUAUGAGGCUGACAAUUAUUUACAUUAGCAAAUGUGAACAUUUACAAUCUGCUUACUUGAGAUACUGGAUUUUGAACUGAGCAACCUAAUUUAUCACCCAUUUCUGACUGCUCAAUCAAGUUAUAGCACCAUUCUUUAGUAUUUGCCAGUCUAGGAGUUAGAAUUUCAUUAAGAGGACACAGUUGGAAAACAGGUUCCACCUAUAGCCUUUAUGGCAAAAUUUUCAAAAGGAUUUCCUUCCUAAAUUGUCAUCUUUUUUCUGACACUAUUAUACAUCCUUUAGGAGAGAUACUGAUUGAUAAUUGUCAGGUUUCUGUCAUAUGGUAGGAAGUAUCAACCAGCAUAAAAAUCCCUUAUCCAGCCUACUCCAAUCCCACAAAGGGAGAAACCAUAGGGUUAAUUAAAUAAUGUUAUAGUUCUCAUGGGUUUUAGAUAAACAGGCAGGGUCAUUAGAAUAGACCCAAAACAUACAAAGUAUUGCUCAGCACAUAAUCAAUGACAGAAUUGCAAACAGAAUUCAUGCCUUCUAGUACAAAACACAAAUAUUUGCCAUUAAGCAUGUAAUUCAAAUCAGCUCUUUGCACAUCUUUAAAAAUAGAUUUUCACACAUCCAUCCAUCACAUUGGAAUGUGGUAAGAGGGAAUUAGGGUUGGAAGAUAAGACUAAGUUUUCUAAUUGAAGCACUAACAAGUCCUCAGCCUCCAAUUUUUGAUAUAUAUAUAUAUAUGUGUAUAUAUACACAUNAAGUGAUUUGUAGACUGCAAACCAUUAUACAAAUAAUUUAUUAUUUUUUAAUUAUUUUCAUUGUGCUUUUGUUUUAGUGAAAUGGUUUAUAGAAACUUAGAGUUAAGUGUAUUUUCCCAUUAUUAUUAAUAUAAAAGUCCCUUGCAUCUGUGAAUUGACUGUUACUGAAAUUAAAGGGUUUGGACUAGAUGACUUUUUUUUUUGGUCUUUUUAGGGCCACACCCGUGGCACAUGGAGGUUCCCAGGCUCCGGGUCCAAUCAGAGCUGUUGCUGCUGGCCUACACCACAGUCACAGCAACAGGGGAUCUGAGCAGCGUCCACAACCUACACCACAGCUCACGGCAACGCCAGAUCCUCAACCCACUGAAGAUGACCUUUAAGGUCCUUUCCAAUCCAGAAUUCUGUCUUUAUAUGAUUUAUUUAGUCCAGGUUCAUUGCAUUCUCUUCCUAAAUACUACAAAGCCUCAUUGAAAAGGUAAUUUAAAUGAUAUCCAUGUAGGUACUAGCCAACAGAAAUGAACUGCAGCCUAUACUAGGCAAAAAACACACAGAUCCUAAAAAGUAUGUCUAUCAAUUAGAGAUACCUGGAGGUCACAUUUUUAUUAAUAUUUCUAUUUAUAUACAUGUGCAUGUAUAUCUGAUUAUAAAAGUAAGAUGUGCUUAGUAUAGAAACUUUAUAAAAUCUAGACAUUUAUUUCUAGUCCUUUUGGGAACAUUUUUAAACAAAUUGGAAGUGUCCGACAUAUACUUUUUUUUUUUUUUUAGGGCCUCACCUGUGGCAUGUGGAAGUUCCCAGACUAGGGGUCAAAUCAGAGCUGCAGCUGCUGGCC
rnacentral:lncRNA from 1 species